rnacentral:rRNA from 1 species
GAUGAACGCUGGCGGCGUGCCUAAUACAUGCAAGUCGAGCGAACGGACGAGAAGCUUGCUUCUCUGAUGUUAGCGGCGGACGGGUGAGUAACACGUGGAUAACCUACCUAUAAGACUGGGAUAACUUCGGGAAACCGGAGCUAAUACCGGAUAAUAUUUUGAACCGCAUGGUUCAAAAGUGAAAGACGGUCUUGCUGUCACUUAUAGAUGGAUCCGCGCUGCAUUAGCUAGUUGGUAAGGUAACGGCUUACCAAGGCAACGACGCAUAGCCGACCUGAGAGGGUGAUCGGCCACACUGGAACUGAGACACGGUCCAGGCUCCUACGGGAGGCAGCAGUAGGGAAUCUUCCGCAAUGGGCGAAAGCCUGACGGAGCAGCGCCGCGUGAGUGAUGAAGGUCUUCGGAUCGUAAAACUCUGUUAUUAGGGAAGAACAUAUGUGUAAGUAACUGUGCACAUCUUGACGGUACCUAAUCAGAAAGCCACGGCUAACUACGUG